UGCCCCAUGGCUGAGUUGGUUACAGCGUCCGACUGUUAUAUUUGUAUCACAUCAAAUUGUGGAAAAUUCGUUUCAUCGGAAGGUCGAGAGUUCGAGCCUCUCUGGGGCAG